rnacentral:rRNA from 1 species
CGACCGCAGGUCAGGCGGGGCUACCCGCUGAGUUUAAGCAUAUCAAUAAGCGGAGG